rnacentral:rRNA from 1 species
CCUACGGGAGGCAGCAGUGAGGAAUAUUGGACAAUGGGCGGAACCCUGAUCCAGCGACGCCGCGUGAGUGAAGAAGUAUUUCGGUAUGUAAAGCUCUAUCAGCAGGGAAGAAAAUGACGGUACCUGACUAAUAAGCCCCGGCUAACUACGUGCCAGCAGCCGCGGUAAUACGUCGGGGGCCAGCGUUAUCCGGAUUUACUGGGUGUAAAGGGAGCGUAGACGGUGUAGCAAGUCUGAUGUGAAAGUUCGGGGCUCAACCGUGGGACUGCAGUUGAAACUGGUGAACUGGAGUACAGGAGAGGUAAGCGGAAUUCCUAGUGUAGCGGUGAAAUGCGUAGAUAUCAGGAGGAACACCAGUGGCGAAGGCGGCUUACUGGACUGUAACUGACGUUGAGGCUCGAAAGCGUGGGGAGCAAACAGGAUUAGAUACCCUAGUAGUC